CCUACGGGUGGCAGCAGUGGGGCAUAUUGCACAAUGGGGGAAACCCUGAUGCAGCGACGCCGCGUGAGUGAAGAAGUAAUUCGUUAUGUAAAGCUCUAUCAGCAGGGAAGAAAAUGACGGUACCUGAGUCAGAAGCCCCGGCUAACUACGUGACAGCAGCCGCGGUAAUACGUAGGGGGCAAGCGUUAUCCGGAUUUACUGGGGGUAAAGGGAGCGUAGACGGCAGUGCAAGUCUGGAGGUAACGGCGGGGGGCUAACCCCCGGACUGCUCUGGAAACUGUACGGCUAGAGUGCAGGAGAGGUAAGUGGAAUUCCUAGUGUAGCGGUGAAAUGCGUAGAUAUUAGGAGGAACACCAGUGGCGAAGGCGGCUUACUGGACUGUAACUGACGUUGAGGCUCGAAAGCGUGGGGAGCAAACAGGAUUAGAUACCCGUGUAGUC
rnacentral:rRNA from 1 species